GAAAUGCGAUACGUAGUGUGAAUUGCAGAAUUCAGUGAAUCAUCGAAUCUUUGAACGCACAUUGCGCCCUUUGGUAUUCCAAAGGGCAUGCCUGUUCGAGCGUCAUUUGUACCCUCAAGCUUUGCUUUGUGUUGGGCGUUUUUUGUCUUUGGCUCGCCCAAAGACUCGCCUUAAAACGAUUGGCAGCCGGCCUACUGGUUUCGCAGCGCAGCACAUUUUUGCGCUUGCAAUCAGCAAAAGAGGACGGCAAUCCAUCAAGACUCCUUCUCACGUUUGACCUCGGAUCAGGUAGGGAUACCCGCUGAACUUAAGC
rnacentral:misc_RNA from 1 species